rnacentral:rRNA from 1 species
CCUACGGGGCGCAGCAGUGAGGAAUAUUGGUCAAUGGACGCAAGUCUGAACCAGCCAUGCCGCGUGCAGGAAGACGGCUCUAUGAGUUGUAAACUGCUUUUGUACGAGGGUAAACGCAGAUACGCGUAUCUGUCUGAAAGUAUCGUACGAAUAAGGAUCGGCUAACUCCGUGCCAGCAGCCGCGGUAAUACGGAGGAUUCAAGCGUUAUCCGGAUUUAUUGGGUUUAAAGGGUGCGUAGGCGGUCGGUUAAGUUAGAGGUGAAAUCCAGAGGCUCAACUUCUGAAUUGCCUCUGAUACUGGUCGGCUUGAGAGUAGUUGCGGUAGGCGGAAUGUAUGGUGUAGCGGUGAAAUGCUUAGAGAUCAUACAGAACACCGAUUGCGAAGGCAGCUUACCAAGCUACUUCUGACGUUGAGGCACGAAAGCGUGGGGAGCAAACAGGAUUAGAUACCCCUGUAGUC